UCCAUCGUGGUGUAGUGGCUAACAUUGCUGUCUUUCACACAGCAGCCCGGGGUUCGAUUCCCCGCGUUGGAA
rnacentral:tRNA from 1 species